AGGACGAACGCUGGCGGCGUGCUUAACACAUGCAAGUCGAGCGGAAAGGCCCUUCGGGGUACUCGAGCGGCGAACGGGUGAGUAACACGUGAGUAAUCUGCCCCUAGCUCUGGGAUAGCUCCGGGAAACCGGGAUUAAUACCAGAUACAACCACUUUAGACAUCUCUUGUGGUGGAAGAAUUUCGGCUAGGGAUGAACUCGCGGCCUAUCAGCUUGUUGGUGAGGUACGGCUCACCAAGGCGACGACGGGUA
rnacentral:rRNA from 1 species